rnacentral:rRNA from 1 species
ACUUGGUGUGGUUGUUGCUGGCCCUUUCGGGGGCAUGUGCACACCCACCAUCCUCAUCUCUCCACCUGUGCACCUCUUGUAGACCUGAAUUGACUUUCCGAGGCAACUCGGUCGGGAAGAUUGCUGUGCUCUGUGAGCCAGCUUUCUUUGCAUGUCUAGGCCUAUGUUUUUCAUAUACCCCUAUAGAAUGUAACAGAAUGUAUCAUUGGGCCUUGUGCCUAUAAACCUUAUACAACUUUCAGCAACGGAUCUCUUGGCUCUCGCAUCGAUGAAGAACGCAGCGAAAUGCGAUAAGUAAUGUGAAUUGCAGAAUUCAGUGAAUCAUCGAAUCUUUGAACGCACCUUGCGCUCCUUGGUAUUCCGAGGAGCAUGCCUGUUUGAGUGUCAUUAAAUUCUCAACCUUAUUAACUUUUGUUGAUAAUGGAUUGGAUUGUGGGGGUUUCUUUUGCUGGAUUCUUCACAGAGAUCAGCUCCCCUUAAAUGCAUUAGCUGGUGCCCCGCGUGGACCAUCUAUUGGUGUGAUAAUUAUCUACGCCGUGGAUGUCUGCAAUCAUAUGGGUUUUGCACUGCUUCUAACCGUCUGUUCAUUCGGACAAUACGUGACAAUUUGACCUCAAAUCAGGUAGGACUACCCGCUGAACUUAAGCAUAUCAAUAAGCGGAGGAA